AGUGAACGCUGGCGGUAGGCCUAACACAUGCAAGUCGAACGGCAGCACAGGAGAGCUUGCUCUCUGGGUGGCGAGUGGCGGACGGGUGAGGAAUACAUCGGAAUCUACUUUUUCGUGGGGGAUAACGUAGGGAAACUUACGCUAAUACCGCAUACGACCUACGGGUGAAAGCAGGGGACCUUCGGGCCUGGCGCGAUUGAAUGAGCCGAUGUCAGAUGAGCUAGUUGGCGGGGUAAAGGCACACCAAGGCGACGAUCCGUAGCUGGUCAGAGAGGAUGAUCAGCCACACUGGAACUGAGACACGGUCCAGACUCCUACGGGAGGCAGCGGUGGGGAAUAUUGGACAAUGGGCGCAAGCCUGAUCCAGCCAUACCGCGUGGGUGAAGAAGGCCUUCGGGUUGUAAAGCCCUUUUGUUGGGAAAGAAAUCCAGCUGGCUAAUACCCGGUUGGGAUGACGGUACCCAAAGAAUAAGCACCGGCUAACUUCGUGCCAGCCGCCGCGGUAA
rnacentral:rRNA from 1 species